rnacentral:rRNA from 1 species
AUACGUAGGGUGCAAGCGUUAAUCGGAAUUACUGGGCGUAAAGCGUGCGCAGGCGGUUUUGUAAGAGAGUGGUGAAAUACCCGGGCUCAAACUGGGGAAAGGCAUUGUGACUGCAAGGCGGGAGUGGGGCAGAGGGGGGUGGAAUUUCGCGCGUAGCAGAGAAACGCGUAGAUAUGCGGAGGAACACCGAUGGCGAAGUCAAUCCCCUGGGCCUGCACCGACGCUCAUGCACGAAAGCGUGGGGAGCAAACAGGAUUAGAUACCCUGGUAGUCCGCGCCCUAAACGAUGUCAACUGGUUGUUGGGGAUUUAUUUUCUCAGUAACGAAGCUAACGCGUGAAGUUGACCGCCUGGGGAGUACGGCCGCAAGGUUAAAACUCAAAGGAAUUGACGGGG